rnacentral:lncRNA from 1 species
UAAAAUCGGGGGAUAGGAGGAAAAGGCGAGGCGGUGGGCGAUAGUGAAACCCAAGCGGAGACGCGAUUCGCCGCCACUCUUCUCCGACAGGUUGUUGGACGGAAACGGCGAGAGCUCGAUCACCGGAGAUGAUGUCGCCGUUGCGGAAGAGUUGAGGCGAACUUGUUUCAGAGCUUGGAUUCGCUUGGCGGAGUUGCUUCUCAGAUCUCCAUCGCGUAUGCCUCACCGGAAUUGGAAGCUGUGUUUGUAACCGCCUUACCUUUGCUCUCUUCGAUCUCUUGGUUAGGUUUUGAAUCCUGAUUCGGCAGUCUGCAGUUUCCCGUUAAUCGGGCUUUUGGCUCCGGGAGUUUCCUUUAAACUCGCCGGCUUUGUUUCUGGAGGGGUUUCGACCCUUGCCGGCUUUAAAUCUUGUCUUAGGCUGUGUAAUAGGUACUGGUUUCAAUCUUGAAUAACAGAGAUAGAAUUAGUGAAUGCUAUCUCAAUCAGUUUAGUUUUAGAUGUUUAGUCGUGGGUAAUUUAGGAUGGUUUUAAUCUUUGGCUUGGUCUUCAUAUGAGAAUUGGAUGUUUUGUUGGCCUUUUUCUAAGGUCUGGUAGUACGUCUUAGACGUUUGGUCCGGAUUUUGGGGCUCUCAGUCUCUAGUUCUAUAUCAUUCGUGUAAUCAGGUAUGGUAACAUGGUCUUGCUGUUUGUGGUUUGUUUUGUGGCUUGUGCUUCUCUUGAUUGUGGAAGCUCCAGACUAGGUUUAUUUGCUUGCUCUGAGUUAGGGAGUUGAUCUUCCUUCAGCUUUCCUUCUCGUUGUAGUUGGUGUUUCCCGUCUUGGUUUAUUUCGCAGACUCCUCCUUGUUCUCUCGUCUGCGUUACUUGGGUUUGAAAUUGAGAAGCGGGUCGUUGAAGUUGUUACCUUCCUUUCAAGCUUUAGGAUCUCAAUGGUCGAGACUCUUGCAGAAGUUUCGGGUUGAUUCAAUUGCACUCAUGGCUCUGCCAGUCGAGCGUUAAGUGUAAAGGUUCCUGGGACAGGGGUUAAGUGAGAGAUUCGUUCAACCCUCUCUUAGUCUUUUAUUUUCUGUUAGAAUUUCUGCUAGAUUUGCUCCUUCUAUUAAGUCCUUGUUAGUUUGUUGCCAAUCUUUGAUCCUUUCCAGCUUGCUUACGACAGCUUAUAAGCUUAGUUUGUUAUCUUUUUCAGAACUUGUAAUAGGCUUGACUGUUUACUAGUUGUAUUGGCUCCAUAAUCUAUAAAGAACACUAUUGUGAAAAAAAAAAAAAAGAAUAGUUGAUCAACGGAAAAGC